GAAUGUUUGUUGUGGGGGAGGAAGGGAAAGGAGAAUGUUAACUGCUUUGAGACUCCUUCGGGUAGUGAUAAAGCAGGAUAUAAAAUCCAAACUCUUCUUCUUCUUCUUCUUUCCCUUCCUCCUCCACAACAAACACUCU